UACCGAAGUUUGCUAACCUCACGGAGGAUUAGAACGCUUCGAAGUCAAAAAACAUCUCACAUCAUACUGACUGUGGGUCAACCGCUCGUUCACUGGACUCUCAGCUGGAAGCUAAGUUUCCUUGACACCCCUAAAACCUAUCUCAUAGUAGGAAAGGAAAAGAAGGCGUAGAAGGAAAGGAAGGUCACCUGUGUAAGUGGAGGACUGGUUCACGAAAAACAGCGAGACGAUAGCAGGUCUAAAAAGCUUAUACAACUUGUGGUUGAACUUUUUAAACUCGUUGUAGGAAGAACAGUAAAGAAAACUUAAACGGUGGGGAUCGGUCUAACUCCCAUACAUCACGGUACAUCCGUCGUAUAGAGACGAGUAGACCGUAACUGACAGAAACGGAUGCAUUGACGACUGGUGGAUGUCAUCGUUUUCCUUUUUUUUCAAAUCCCUUUAACACCAUGUUAUUCUUUUGAUACUUUUAACCUCAUACUUCCUCAUAUAGUUGAUCCUCAUACUAGUUUUGACAUGGACAACGAAGAACAUCGUAUGACAGUAGAAGAACCUCGUAUAACAGUAAUAGUAGUCGAAGAAGAAGCUCGUAUAACAGUAGUAGUAGACGAAGAAGAACCUCGUAUAACAGUAGUAGUAAAAGAAGAACCCCGUAUAAUAGUAGUAGUAAACGAAGAAGAACCUGGUACAACUGUAGACGAGGAAGAAGAGGACGUCCACCACACGUCAAGUUCAGACCCUCGUGGUAUGACAAAACCACGACAACGAAGAUAUUAAUGAGACUUUAAAAGGUUUUUUCGUUCAAAUUAUGAGGUUUUCCCCUUUUUGUUUGUUUGGUAUCUAGAAUAGAGAUCCAACGAAUUGGUACUUUGUUACAUAGAAGACGUUGCAUGAGGACGUAAAUCAUCAUCAUUACGGUAGAUCUAUUAGGAUCUAUUACGUUCUCAUCAUCAUUGACUUUGAAGAACACUUAAAUUGACUUUGAAGACGUAAACAUGAGACAUUCUAAGAUCGAUAUCUCUAUUUUACGAGGAAGUAAACUAAUCGUAAAUUGUUGUCAUUGCAAAUCUAACCAACGUUGUUUGUUUUAUGUCUAUAUAGUUACUCAUUUAAAGAAUAAUUAUACCAGGCCAACGUUGUUUUUUUUAAUUUUGUUCCAUGACCAUGAGUAAACCAGUUAGACGAUGACAUGAGUAAACUGUCUAAACAUAAAACUGUAUUAGGUAAAGUAUCACUACAAAGAACUGUGUGUUCACUAUGACACGUCUGUUCGCUGUUAAGAAGACACGUCAUCCUCAUGUUAUGAGACAUAAAACUGUUUGUUCACGUCGUAGAGUACACACUAAUACGUAAAUAGAUUUAGAUACGUAAAUUAACUUAGAUACGGCUUAAAUUGACUAGGGACAUGACUAUGAGGUCAGACAAACGUCUUAAAUGUCAUUUUAAAUGAGGUCCCUCGUUCUAGUGUAAUGACGUCAAUCCCCGCUCCGUUCCUCUUGGACGGACCUCUGGUGCACGACGCAUCACUGCUCAGUCCACCCGACCCGUGCCGCUCCUGGUUCGACUCCCCCGCCGCUGGUUCGACCCGCGCCGCCGCUGGUUCGACUCCGCCUCCGCUGGUUCGACUCCGCCUCCGCUGGUUUGACCCACGGACCCGCGCCCCGGCUCGCGGACCUUUGUCCCGGCUCGCGGACCUACUACCCCUGCUACGCACGAGCACCUCCUCCCCCUGCUGCGUUCGAUGACCUCCUCCCCCUGCCGCGUUCGAAGACCUCCUUCUGCUGCUGUGCUCGAGGACCUCCUUCUGCUGCCGUGCUCGAGGACCUCCUACCCCUGCUGCGCUCGAGGACCUCCUACCCCUGCUGCGCUCGAGGACUCCCUACCCCUGCCGCGCUCGAGGACCCCCUUCCCCUGCCGCGCUCGAGGACCCCCUACCCCUGCCGCGCUCGAGGACCUCCUCCUUCUGCUGCGCUUAAGUUUAGCUCCCAUUUUUCCAGAUUAAGCGGUAAACAGCCGACACAGGAUUUUAACAUUUGCGAGAAUAUUUUCAAAUGUCUCCCUCAU
rnacentral:rRNA from 1 species